CAGGACUGAUCUCCUUUAGAAUGGACUGGUUGGAUCUCCUUGCAGUCCAAGGGACUCUAAAAACUCAAAAGGACAGGGUUUGGAGAGCUUCCUGGUUGAUCAUGUGGAGAUGUUGGAAGAGUGGCACACCUGGAUGUCAUGGAUGUUCUUCACUUUCCAUACUUUAUUCGCUGUGCAUUUUUUGCCAUCAACUGUUCCUGAGUUACAUACUUUUAUAUAAAUGGGUGUUUAGUAAGUGAAA